UACGAAGGGGGCUAGCGUUGCUCGGAAUCACUGGGCGUAAAGGGUGCGUAGGCGGGUCUUUUAAGUCAGGGGUGAAAUCCUGGAGCUCAACUCCAGAACUGCCUUUGAUACUGAAGAUCUUGAGUUCGGGAGAGGUGAGUGGAACUGCGAGUGUAGAGGUGAAAUUCGUAGAUAUUCGCAAGAACACCAGUGGCGAAGGCAGCUCACUGGCCCGAUACUGACGCUGAGGCACGAAAGCGUGGGGAGCAAACAGGG
rnacentral:rRNA from 1 species